rnacentral:rRNA from 1 species
GCGGUGUAGGUGGAAACGGUGGUGGAGGAGGAUGAGGUAGCCAACACUGUUUAUAUAUAUCUAUAUAUUUUUAAUUGGGGUAGCCCCCAAAAUAUAAAAAAAGACUAUAAAAAAGGACAACUGUGUUCCGCAGAGUAGCUGUUAACAUUAUAGUUGCGUAGGCACUUUGGUGACUCUAGAGAACCUCGGGCCAAUCUCACAUCCCCGUGACGGCGACUUUGCAUUCGGAUGUCAUCCAUAUCAACUUUCGAUGACAGUUUCUGCACCUACCAUGGUGACCACGGGUAACGGGGAAUCAGGGUUCCAUUCCUUACAGGGACCCUGGCAAACAGCUACCACAUGCAAGGAAGGCAGCAGGCG